rnacentral:rRNA from 1 species
GAGUGAACGCCUGGCGGCGCGCCUAACACAUGCAAGUCGAACGGCACCACCUCUCGGGCAGAAGCGAGUGGCGAAACGGCUGAGUCAACACGCGGAGAACCCGCCCUCUCCCCCGGGAUAGCCGCCCGAAAGGACGGGUAAUACCGGAUAACUCCGGGCGCCGCAUGGCGCCCGGGCUAAAGCCCCGACGGGAGGGGAUGGCUCCGCGGCCCAUCAGGUAGACGGCGGGGUGACGGCCCACCGUGCCGACAACGGGUAGCCGGGUUGAGAGACCGACCGGCCAGAUUGGGACUGAGACACGGCCCAGACUCCUACGGGAGGCAGCAGUGGGGAAUCUUGCGCAAUGGGGGGAACCCUGACGCAGCGACGCCGCGUGCGGGGCGGAGGCCUUCGGGUCGUAAACCGCUUUCAGCAGGGAAGAGUCAAGACUGUACCUGCAGAAGAAGCCCCGGCUAACUACGUGCCAGCAGCCGCGGUAAUACGUAGGGGGCGAGCGUUAUCCGGAUUCAUUGGGCGUAAAGCGCGCGUAGGCGGCCCGGCAGGCCGGUUUCUAAAAACGCGGGGGGCCUCAACCCCCCCGAAGGCCCCCGGAUCCUCCGCGGCUUGGGUCCGGUAGGGGAGGGUGGAACACCCGGUGUAGCGGUGGAAUGCGCAGAUAUCGGGUGGAACACCGGUGGCGAAGGCGGCCCUCUGGGCCGAGACCGACGCUGAGGCGCGAAAGCUGGGGGAGCGAACAGGAUUAGAUACCCUGGUAGUCCCAGCCGUAAACGAUGGACGCUAGGUGUGGGGGGACGAUCCCCCCGUGCCGCAGCCAACGCAUUAAGCGUCCCGCCUGGGGAGUACGGCCGCAAGGCUAAAACUCAAAGGAAUUGACGGGGGCCCGCACAAGCAGCGGAGCAUGUGGCUUAAUUCGAAGCAACGCGAAGAACCUUACCAGGGCUUGACAUAUGGGUGAAGCGGGGGAGACCCCGUGGCCGAGAGGAGCCCAUACAGGUGGUGCAUGGCUGUCGUCAGCUCGUGUCGUGAGAUGUUGGGUUAAGUCCCGCAACGAGCGCAACCCCCGCCGCGUGUUGCCAUCGGGUGAUGCCGGGAACCCACGCGGGACCGCCGCCGUCAAGGCGGAGGAGGGCGGGGACGACGUCAAGUCAUCAUGCCCCUUAUGCCCUGGGCUGCACACGUGCUACAAUGGCCGGUACAGAGGGAUGCCACCCCGCGAGGGGGAGCGGAUCCCGGAAAGCCGGCCCCAGUUCGGAUUGGGGGCUGCAACCCGCCCCCAUGAAAGUCGGAGUUGCUAGUAAUCGCGGAAUCAGCAUGCCGCGGUGAAAUGCGUUCCCGGGCCU